AACGAACGCUGGCGGCAUGCCUAACACAUGCAAGUCGAACGAGACCUUCGGGUCUAGUGGCGCACGGGUCCGUAACGCGUGGGAACCUGCCCUUAGGUUCGGAAUAACUCCCCGAAAGGGGUGCUAAUACCGGAUAAUGUCUUCGGACCAAAGAUUUAUCGCCUUUGGAUGGGCCCGCGUUGGAUUAGCUAGUUGGUAGGGUAAAAGCCUACCAAGGCGACGAUCCAUAGCUGGUCUGAGAGGAUGAUCAGCCACACUGGGACUGAGACACGGCCCAGACUCCUACGGGAGGCAGCAGUGGGGAAUAUUGGACAAUGGGCGAAAGCCUGAUCCAGCAAUGCCGCGUGAGUGAUGAAGGCCUUAGGGUUGUAAAGCUCUUUUACCCGGGAUGAUAAUGACAGUACCGGGAGAAUAAGCUCCGGCUAACUCCGUG
rnacentral:rRNA from 1 species